CCGAGAGGCUAGGGCUGCCUUAGGUAGACCAUUACCCCUUGAGUGGGAUGUUCGAGGAAAGACGUACAAGGAAAUUGGUGAAUAUUCUCAUCAUUUGUCUCGGGAGAUCGGCCUUCUCAUUCGACAAUAUGUCGAUCCCGACUAUGAUCGAUGGGAUAAAGUACCAAAGGAAGUUAGGGAUCGAAUAUUUCCUCGUCUACAGGAUGAUUUAUUCGAUAUUGGUCUCACUCGGUAUGGGGCAGAACAUCGAAGUGGCAUUCUUCUCGGCAUUCAACGAUCUUGCGCUGAUCGUUACUCAGAAUGGAAGAAUGAUAUAUCUACUCACAUAAAGAAGCAUGGUCGGAGACAUGCUCCUGAUGGUUUGGUAGAAGAAAAAUGGAAGAAGGCGCUUGAUUAUUUUGAUCGACCUGAAGUGAAGAGGCGCUCUGAGAUUAAUGCUGCGAAUCGAGCAAAACAAAAA